GUGCUGACCAUGCAAAUUGCUGCCGCAUGUGCGCAGAGGCCAGAAGAGCACCAUUGGUGGGUUAGCUUCAGCGCGAGAUGCCAGAUUUUGUGCCACUGCUCAUGGGGGGCUCAUAACCAGGUACUUAAUGGAAAAAAGAAAUACGGUGCAAAUUAAAUGCAGCUUAUAAAAGUUUAUCUCCCCAUGCACCCACGUGAGAUGCAAUAUGGAAUGCCUCAAGAGUGGAGGAUCCGGGAUUUUUUUUGUGAUCUAAAAGAGACUUUGACAGAAAAUGACAAUGGGAAUUUAAUCACAUCUUUGAGAAAAGAGCCAUGAUAACAUCAACAAUGUGAGAGAAGCAGCCAGUACCUCAUGAUAAUAUAUGAGAAAAACAAAAUACAAGAAUAUUUCAAAUAUA